GACGAACGCUGGCGGCGUGCUUAACACAUGCAAGUCGAACGGAGUGGCGAACGGGUGAGUAUUACGUGAGUAACCUGCCCUCAACUGUGGGAUAAGCCUGGGAAACUGGGUCUAAUACUGCAUAGUUGGGGAUGGGCUCGCGGCCUAUCAGCUUGUUGGUGGGGUGAGGGCCGACCAAGGCGGUGACGGGUAGCCGGCCUGAGAGGGUGUUCUGCCACUCGUGGACUGACAUACGCCCCAGAGUCCUACGGGAGGCGGCAGUGGGGGAUAUUGCACAAUGUGCGCGCGCCUGGUGCAGCGACGCCUCGUGAGGGAUGAAGGCUUUCGGGUUGUAAACCUCUUGCGGUACAGAACGGGUAUGUGCAGAAGAAGCGCCGGCUAACUACGUGCCAGCAGCCGCGGUAAUAC
rnacentral:rRNA from 1 species